GUCCCGGUCGGGGGUCCCAGUGCGCCUGCGCGGGAGCGCGACGGCCGGGGCUCGGCGGCGGGCCGGGCUGGGCGCGCGCCGGGAGCGGAGGAUGCGCCCCGCGGAUUUGCCAGUUCCUGUAUGCCGAUGGGAAUCGUGUUCUGGCUCCUUGACAGUGCUAUAGGAGAAGCUGAUGCUCUGAACAGUGAGCCUGGGGAACAAGACAGUGUGGAUUGCCUCCUGCCUUGCCUCUUCUCCCAGCUGCCUGCAGUGAGCUCUCACGUGCCAGAGGACGAGGGUGGAGGAGAGCAGCCACGUGAAGCUGGGACAGUGUGGCUGAGCCAAAGGGCUUUUGACCUGUGGGCUGUGGCAACUGGGGGUCCUCACCACCCUGCAGCAGAGACAAGUGGCUCCUGCCAGGUAGAUGCCUUCAGGGGAGUGGCCAGCUCCAGCUGAGCUGAUGAAUCUUGGCACCUGAUACAAGGCUCAGCUUCUGAUAUGAAGAAGGAUAUAGAGUCUUUAAUAGCCCAGGAAAAAGCAGAAAUCGUCGCCAAGUAUGAGAAGGGCAGACAGGAAGGAGCUCAGAUUGACCAGUGGGAAGAUGCCGAUUUCACCCUCUACAAAGUUACAGACCGGUUUGGAUUCCUGCACGAGCAGGAGCUGCCAACCCGCACCGCCUUGGAGGAGAAGCAAAAACAGCAGGAAAUAGAACGUGUGGACAAGUGGCUUAAGAUGCUGAAGAAGUGGGGCAAAUACAGAAACAGUGACAAGAUGUGCCGGCGUGUGUACAAAGGGAUCCCGCUUCAGGUGCGAGGCCAGGUCUGGUCACUUCUGCUGGAUGUCGAGAAGAUGAAGAAGGAGAAUGAAGGAAAAUAUGAGCAAAUGAAAGAACAAGCAAAGAGUUUUUCAUCGGAAAUCAAGCAGAUAGAUUUGGAUGUGAACCGCACCUUCCGAAACCACAUCAUGUUUCGGGAUCGCUACGGGGUGAAGCAACAGGCGCUCUUCCACGUCCUGUCAGCAUACUCAGUUUAUAACACUGAAGUGAGCUACUGCCAAGGGAUGAGCCAGAUUGCAGCCAUCCUCCUGAUGUACUUGAAUGAAGAGGACGCGUUCUGGGCGCUGGCACAGCUGCUCACCAACCAGCGCCACGCCAUGCACGGUUUUUUCAUUCCUGGGUUCCCGAAGCUGCAGAGGUUUCAAGCCCACCAUGAGCAAAUUUUAAACAAACUGUUCCCCAAACUGAAGAAGCACAUGGACAAGGAGCAGAUGACCACCGGGAUUUACACAACCAAGUGGUUCCUGCAGUGUUUCAUUGACCGGACCCCAUUCACGCUGACCUUGCGGCUGUGGGAUAUCUACAUCCUGGAAGGGGAGCGGGUGCUGACAGCCAUGGCUUACACCAUCCUCAAACUGCACAAAAAGCGCUUGCUGAAGAUGGCACUGGAAGAUUUACGUGAAUUUCUGCAGGAGAAAAUUGCUGCUUCCCUGCAGUACGAGGACGAUGCUGUCAUCGAGCAGCUGCAGGUGUCAAUGACUGAACUGCGCAAGAUGAAGUUUGACCUGCCCCCACCAGCAAAGCCUGAGGAGUUUCCAAGGAAACCCCUGGGCCUGGAGCUCUCCCUCAACCCAGUAGCCAUAAAGGAAAACACAGCAGCCAAUGGCCAGAAUGGCCAGGUGGGUGAGCACACCCCAGACAGGGAGCCCCAUCGCCACAAAGUUCCUGGCACACCAGGAGGAGUGACAGUGGUGGAAGCGAGGAUUCUCACCUUCCAGGGUAGUGAAGCAGCUGAAGCAACAAACGUGCCCGUUCCGGGUGGGCAGCCACCAGAUGAGGAGGGUCAGGUGGAGCCCAUCAUGGACGGGCAGCCAUCAUCUCUUCUGAAGGCAAGCGAGACGCAGGCCCAGCAACACCUCCUGCCCACAGUCCUGCCUCCAGAGCAGCCUCUUCUUGCUCCUGGCUGUGCCGUGGUGGACCAUGGAGUCUCCCUCCAUGCCCCAGCUGAACACAGCUCCUUAGACUCCUCUCUCCAAAACAGGCCGGCUCCUCCUGACUCCAGCACCGCUGAGCUUUCCUCUACGGACCAGGCAGUGUGGCAGCCAAAUCCCGCUGCCCUGCCAGCAGGAGAACAGGCAUCUUCCCUGAGCAGAGACGCAGUGCUUGAAGCAGCCCCCCAUCCUCUGCCAGCCGGCUGCCAGCAGCUCUCCUGCACUUCACAGAGCGAUGGCUCCCCCGAGAGCGAGCGCGGGGAGGAGGCGGCGGAUGACAGGCACUGCAGGGCGGUGCUGCCGGACAAAAUGGGCCUGAAGCACUCGGCAUCCAAAGCCGCAUCCACAGGAGAGCUCCUCAGCCUGCAGCACAACGGGCUGGGCAGUGCCACCAGCAGCACGCGCUGGCCCGAGGCCGUGGGCGUGCUGCCCGCGCACAGGCAGGCAGGGGGCAGUGUGCCCAUCUUGUCCAGCAGAGAGCCGGAGGCAGCAGGGAUGGCCGAGGGCUGCCCCACCCAGCGGGCACCGUCCCCUCUGGUGGAAGGGAACAGCCCCUAUGUCGUUAUCAAAACCACCACUCCACUCCAUCUGGCCCAUGCGACAGAGCAGGACUUCUUGAACAGAAAGCAGGUGGCAUUGCCUCUGUCAGAGACUGGACAUCCUCUGCCUACCACCUCCAUGCCACCACCUCUUAUGGCAGACCCAGAGGAGGCAGAGGUCCAGAAAAGCCUCCAGAAACCAUUAAAUGCACUGAAAGCCCCACGACCCCCGCUGAGCCCCAAACCAAAAUUACCGCCGCAGGUUGCCAAAUCCCGCUCAGAGAACAGUUUCCUUUCAGGCUCUCCUUCCAUGGCAAAGCUGCCCAAAUCGGUGACAUUCUAGUGGGGAUGGGGAAGGGGAAGUUAAGGGAGAAGAAGUGGGUUCUGGAGAAGCACCCUUGCCCCAUUUGCAGGAUCCCCUUCUGUCAGCAGGGCUGUCAGGGUGACAGCACAGCACCAUUGCACAUCAAGCUGUGCUUUGGUACGAGCGCCCAGCGAGGAGACGAAGCGGUGCCCACCAGCGCUAGGAGACACCAGCAGAUUGGAUUUGCAUGUUUCCUGUGGACAAAUUGGAAAAUGCUUUCAUUUUUUGUUCCUCAAAGCUCCCCAAGUCUCAUCACUUGGGGAAAGAGGCAGGGCUGGUGGGUUUGUUGCGCGUUUUCUCCUGCUCCUGUCUGCUGUGGGAACCCACGACCAAGCAAGCAGGCACAAGGUGUCAGAAUCUGAAACGCUUUCUUUACAACGCCCCAUCGGCACAGCUACAGCAUUGCUUUUAAAGGCCUUUGUAGCAAUAGAUCUUUAUUUCAUUUCCCAGACCUGCAGUUGCAGGCAGCAGAAUUUCCAGGCACUGCCAUGGCAUCCUGGCAGGACACAGGCAGCCCGCUGCCCCCUCUAUGCAAUUCCACAAAGCAGUGCCCGGCUGUGUCUGGCUCCUGCUGCUGUGGUGGAUGGUGUUUAGGAGGACAGAUUUAACAGCUGCUGAGUCCCUUGGACAUCUCCUUGGUCACCCCAGUGUGGAGCUGCCAGCAGAGUGGUUCUUUCCCAGGUUCUCAGGGUGACAAGGACAGUGACAAAGGUGGAGCCUGGUCUCUUGGGCUGAGUGCCCUUUCUGCUGGCCUUUCCUUCCCAGGGCCAGUGCAGCGAGCAGGCUCGCUGCCUUUCUGUUCCCCAAACAGGAAAAGGGGCUGCUGGCUCGGGAAACCUGCCUGCACUACCAAGCUGCUGGACAUGUGAUGGCAUCCAAUCACAGUGCCCCAGAUAAGUCCACUUUUGCUUUGAGUUAAAAUCUGGCUUGAAACACCACAGAAAAACAAAAAGAAAGCCCCAGCACCACUGAACACUACAGUUUACUGUCACAGAAGCAGCCUGAGGAUGCAGCUCUUCACACAUCUGUGCCAUUUCACACUGGAUGCCAGCACAGGGAUGCAGCACUGUGACCAAGGGUGAGAUCCCCAGGCUGGAGAGAAGCAAACCUCAUCCCUCCUGUGUUCCAGGUGCUCACAAGCAGCCUCAUUGCACAUGCUGCUUUGUGUCACCUCCCAGCCACCAGCUCCUGUGAACCUGUUGGCUCUCAGGCAGUGCCAGCUGGGACCAGGUUUGAACAUCUGCCAUGGUUACUUACGUGACAGGGAGUGCAGGGUUCAGAAAUGGCAUUUAUCCAACUGCUUAAACAGCAUCCCUGUCAAGGAGAGAGCAGAAGUGUCCAGAAGGGCAGCUUCCUCAAGAGAACGUGAGUUGUGCUAGGUUUGAGGGUUGUGUUCCUCCAUUAAACAGCACCAGCAGCACCAGGUCAUGGCAUGCUCCUUGCAGCAGGGAGGUGCUCAUGUCCCUGAGGGGAUGGGAGGGUAGACAGCUCCUGUGUCAUUCCAGUACCCCUUGCCCCCUCCUGUGCCCCCCAGGGCCUGACUGCUGCUAGCAGGGGACAAAUAUUAGGACAAUCCCAAAGCCCAAGGUUACAGAUACCCACUUGAUGGACAUCAUUGGGACCAGUAGCAAAUGAGUGUCAUAGAUGGUGUUGAGGCUGCUGAUUAAAUCCUAGAGGUCUUAUCAGCCAGGGACUGGUCCUCCCACUGCCUCUUCCUCUGCACUUGGUAUUUGCCAGUAUUAACAUCCCCCUUUUCCUGGUGGAGCCAUUGCUGUUGUCACAGCAGCUCUCCAGCUCCCAGGGCUGGUUCCCAAGGCAGAAUUGCAAACUCCCCAAGCUGUGCUCAGCUUUGGUGCCCUGGCAGACCCCUGUGGCUCCUGUUCUUCCUGGCUCAAGAACAGCCAAACCAGCAGCUGCAGGAGCUGGGACAGGCAGGAGAGCAGGUCUGUCCUCACUGCUCGCUGACUCUCAGCCAAGCCCCAGCUGUGCUCAUCACCAUCCCUGCCCACCUCCCACGACAUGGAAAGCUCAUCAACCACUGCAUGCCUCCACAAGGCUUCAGCCACUUGGCACUGAAUAAUUGAUGCUAAGUGGAGCCUGGAGCAGACAAGCUGCGGGAGGGAGCAAGGCUUUGUGCUGCUUUAGGCUCUGCUCCCAGGAUAUAGCAGGGGGAGAGAGAUGGGUGUGCUGUGUCUGGCAGCUUUGUGCCCCAGCCAGUUAUGCAGAGGCAGUUAGAGUUUGGCUGGGCCUGAGAGUGUUCUUCCUCUUGGCCUUGCUGUGCUGCUCACGUGCUGCUGUGUCCUACUGCCAUGGUGGUGCUGCUGCGCUGUCAUCCGUCACCUGCUGCUGUGGCUGCGUGCUGCUGUCGUGCUCCUUGUGUGCUGCAGAGGGGACAUGCAGCAGUGGAUGGGACUUGGGGAGCAGAUCAAGGGCAUCCCCAGUCCCAGUAGCCCUCACUAGGGCUGGUGCCAUGGCUCUCUUAAGAUACACACCCUGCACUCGACCCAUAGAAAGAGCAAAGUGGUUGCACAUGGGGCCAAGCCCAUCUGCCUCUUCCUCUUCCCACCAGCUGCUGGUCGCCAGGAUGGUGGCUGUCACACCAUCCUCUGAGCAAUGUCACUCCCUUCCUACAGCACAUCCCGAAGUAUAAAGCAGUAUAUGGAGAAAAUAACAGCCUGGCAGUUUAAAGAGGCAGGUCUGACAGCUUCCCAAACCAUCUCCCAAAUCCUACUGCCUCAGCAGCUAAGGAGGCCCACAGGGCAUACACCAGCAUCCUCUUCACCUAGAAGGAUGUGGACACCAGGAUACCACCAAACAUCUCACCAGGAGAUGCAGCAGGUGGACCCAUCCCAUGGGCAUCCUUACUCCCUGGCAGCAUUUACAAGAGUCCAAGAUGGGGAUGGAGAAGACUUAGAAGGCACACAUGAAGACACAAGUCCAAGAAACUGGAGUCACUAAAUCCUGGCUAUUCUUCCACAUAGUAAAACAGGCUCCUCCUAAGACACAGAGAAAAGUAAACUAAGAAAUUUUCAAUUUUGUCCAAAACUGGUAUGAGCUCCCUUAGAGGUACCUGUGGCUACAUGGGAUGCAGUAUCACAAGCCCCACUUCCAACCAUCCCAUUAAGAACCUGGGCCACUCUGAUGCCCUGGAGGCUGCUCAGCCUGGCCUCACAUCAGAGCCCUGCUCCUGGGACAUCUAAGCCUACAGACUUAGAUAACCUCAGGCUUGGGGAAGCUGUUUCUUGAGUGGCUUUGCUUACCUUUAUGGUGAAGGCAAGAAGUGAUACAGAAGUACUGCUUAGGCUGGAAAGAUGUGCAACAGUGGCUGUAGUCCAGAUGGGAAACCUGGGUCUGCUCCUCUACCAAACCACAACUGCAGGCGAGGAGGAUGAGGCCAGCAUUUAGCCAAAGCUGCUCUGUAAUACUCAGCCUUUCUUUCAGCUUCCCCCACCACCACCCUCACAUCUCAGGUCUCUCCCCAGCACUGAGUCAUUGCUGCCAGCUCCUGCACAACCCAGGUCUUUGCCAAAGCCCUCAGCAAGCACUGUGCACUCACCUGCUUUGGAGUCGCCCUCUCUGCUGGCUUAGGAGAAUGCUCCUGUGGAAGCCCUCACAGACCAAAAGGCAUGAGAUCUGUUCCAGCACUUGAUCAGCAUCUUUAAGGACUUGUAAGCAAUUCUGGCAGUUGACUCAGCUGUGAUGUCUCUGGAGCCCCAACCCCUCUGUAACAGGGUGUGGGGCACUUGAAUGAUGUGAGAGAAGAACACGUGUUAUACGCCUGUCCUGAGACAUCUGGACCUGACCAGACUAGAACAGACCUCAUCAGCUCUUCUGUAAUUUAAGUACGGGUUCAAAGGUGGCACUCCUCCAUCAUGGGAUAUGCAGUCUCAACAUAAUCAGUAGGAGGCUGACUGAAGCCGUCUCAGAGCUGGUUUUCACACUGGCUGGAGAUCCACAGCACAGCACAAAUUUAGUUCAGCUUUGGCAUGGCCAGCUGAAGACAUCACAACAGCCAGAGAUGAGCUGAUGUACUCAAAUAUAGCAAAAAGCUCACCUCUGUGGACUCUUCCAGCUUCAGCUAUGCAACAGGAAUAAUCAAAAUACAUUCUGCUCGCCUGAGCUGUGCUUCUGAAGCAGAACUGAGGUACACAACAGAAUCCUUGUCAUAAGGGAAAUAACUGCAGUGUCUGAAAAUUUCAUCUUAACCCCCCAAUUUCUUCUCCAAACCUACAUUAACUCCAGGGAAACUGUAAUCCUGGUAUUACUUUCAGACUCGAGAAGUUCAGCUAGCACAUCAGAACACAUGGUGAGCUCAUGUACCGAUGUCCUGCCUGUCAGGGGCCAGCAAGAUGAUGUCCUGUCCCCAGAUCAUCAGCACCAAGGUAGCAAGUGAAAAACCUAAGUCAAGAGUAACAGCUCCACCUGAGGGAAGUGAUACAAUCUGGUUUUUGCCAACAGCAAAGAUCAGACCAGAUCACAGCUGAGGCAUCUUGAUCUGUGGUGAUUUUCCUCCUGGAACAAAGAUGCAGUACGACAAUACAAAGUUAAUACGUGGUUUUUGGAGACGAUCUGUGGUGUCAAGCUUUUCACACCUCCUUUUGCUCCUAACCUACCUCCAACCUUUAGCAUGGACUUGAACAAUGACCUGAGUCUGGAUUUCUUGUGACCCAGUUACAGUAAAAAACUAACCAGCUCCUGUGAUAGUCUGUCACUGACCAGGACUGUCUGACAAGCUUGAAAAUCUUCCCGAGUGCAGAAACCUCUCUGAAAGAUGCUAUUACUUCAACUUCCUGCUCCUCACCAAACUCUUCUAAGUAGUUGAUAUUCUGGCCAGUGCUGUUCUAGCAUAGCUUCACCAAGAUGUGCCAGUUUCUUGGAACUGCAGCUAUUACCUGCCCUGUGAAGACACCUUGGCCCUGGCACUCCCUGGAGCUCUUCAGCUUCCUUGACUGCAGCUCCCAGUAUUUGGCAUUUGUCUCCCAGCCAGAAAUGAUGGGAGACUCUCAGUGGUUAGAGCCACCAGGUCCCUGAGAGAGCCCCAGAGUGUUACUUCUCCUCUGAAGACCUCCAGAUAGAUCUAUCCCAUCCUUCACCAAGGGCCUGAGGAAGGAAGGGGUAAGUCCUACUGCAGAUGAAGAGCACCAGGUUCCUAGUGCAGUAACACUACCAAGCAAGGGCCCCCAUGUCAUCUUCUAGAAGGACAAAGUACUGCUGUCCUGUGGCCAGUUGUGCACAAGAUGCCAACUUUAGGAACAACCCCCAUACGUCCAGUCUUCACACUUGAAACAACUCAGAGUGGGAGUUCAGCACUAGGUUCAGCAGUCCUUCGGCACAGGGACAGACACUGCUGUAAACAGCACACCCAGCUAAAGGCAGGGCACUCUCCCCUCAGGUAACUUCUCCCACUCCAGGAGCUGGUAUCAGCCCUUCUGCAGGAACAGGGUGCCAGGCAGCUGCAGCCAGGGUGGGGGCUGUGCCCUACAGCAGUUCAGAGCAGGCAUUUACAGAAAGCAAGCCAUUAGCACAAGUCCUCUCUUGCCCAGGCCAAAAGCAAAGACAGUACCCCCAAGGAGCAUGGGAGUUGAAUUCUGUUGCUUUAAUUCUGCUGCUGCCUGGCAUGAUGGAGGAUGGGGAGUGGGAUGGGAGAUUGCUUGCAAGGAUGCUGGGAAACCCUGGGUGGGCUGUGGCUUUGUGCUGGGGGUGACCAGGGUUUCUUUACUGGUUUUGCCACAUGAGGCAUGUGACUCACACCACCCUUGCUGCUCCCAACCCAGACCAACCUUGGCUGCCAAACCCAGCACCUCUUCAGGCCUGGGCUAGCCCAUGCAGAACAGCUCCCUGCCACACUCACCUGGAUCACCUUCCCCCUUUGAUGCUUCUAAUUCUGGAUGCCAGGUAAAUUAGCCUGUGCAAUAGCUUGGAAGAGGGAAAGACAACGAGUACUGAGCUACCCACUGCACUGAAUGCAAUGCCUUGUCUUGGGGCUGCAAGUAAAAGGCAUGUAGGUCAGACCUCAGGCAAAAACCCCAAAGGAGCAGAGCUGAGCAGACAGAGUUCCCAACAGAUUAGCCCUAAUCCAAAACACUCUUACCCACUUGAAACCCAGGGACUGAAAGCCUGAAUCCUUUAGUCUUAGUUGCUGAGCAGCCUUAGGCUUCUGCAGUGCAGGAGAGCCCUUCUCGACAUGCUCACCAGUCAGGAAGCCGUGCACAGGGUAGACAAGGAUUUGCUUACCUGUACCUACUGGAGCAGCCCAAGGUGUAUGUGCUAUACAGGUGUUAGCAUAGCUAGGGCUGGAGGGGACCAAAAAGUCCCAAUUAUACCUCUAGAGCACAAUACAUGAGGGAAGUCUUGUGCCAGAAAGAGCUGACAGGAAAGGAAUCAGGGAAGGAACAAACUGGUACCAACUGAGGUGAAACCAGCUCUCCAGUCUGCUCGUUGAUGCUUCUUCCCUUCCAGGCAUUGUAUCUGAGGUCAUAAAUCCCACAAGGACUAGGCUGAAAGCAAAGUACUCAAGAGAUGCCAAGAACAGGCUUGGACUGGUUGCACUCUUCCACCCUCCCAAAACUUGGGGCCAGCAGAGUUCCAGGUGGGCUGGGGAGGACAUAACAAAGACUUGCUGGAGACAGAGACAAGCUAUCUUGCCGUAAGAGCUUGUCUCUCCCACCCCAGUCACUUCCAUGAUCUACAGCAUGACCUUGGUCUGUGAAGAGAAAAGUCUCAGCACUCUUUCCUCCCCGCCAUCCCACCAGUGAUCCUUCCAGAGCACCAGCAGCAGUAGCCUCUGGAAGGAGGACACAGCCAUCAAGGUGAUUUGUUGAGACAAUCAAAUAAUAAUUUACUGUGAUUCAA